CAGGUGCACCACACGCUUCUCCAGCAACUUUACCUGCUCCUGGACCUGUUCCAAGAUGAAAGAGAAGAAAAGGAAGUCAUUAAGAAAGUGCAAUUUGACACCAAUUUCUUAACUUUAUCUCAAAGUUAAAUCUUCAAGGAAUCAAAGGGUCAAGCCUCAGGGACGGAGCAUGGCAGAAGCAACUGCUGUAGCGGGGAGGUGGAAAUGGAGCUUCAGCCAAAAGAAAGAAAAGAAGGAAGGAAAGAAGGGAAACAGGAAGCAAAGAAGGAAGGAA